GUCCCCCAUUGCAACCGCCGACGCCUCGUUGGACGUUUGGUUCGAUGUUCGCUUAUCUACAAGCAAAGAAUAAAUUUAGAAGAAGAGAGAAGCACAGAGAGAGAGAGAGAGAAAGGAAGGGAAGGUAGGGGGAGAGAGGGGAAAGGUUUCAUUUUACGUCUCCUUCUCUUCUACCCUCUUCCUUUCUUUUGUUUUCUGCUUCCUGCAUAAUAGAUAUACCAGUUUGUGGCAUUCGCAUGGUUAUCUUGUGCCCUUUUUGACAGAUUUGAUUUGGGUUCGUUGCGUUUCCUCCUGGGUUGUUGUUCUUGUCGGUGAAGAUGAUGGUUGCUAGUAGUUUUGAUCUCUGGCAGAAAGAUGCGUUCUUCUCUGCGGCUGAGGAGGUUCAGGAAUCCACAGACAUAAUGGAAUCGGUGUACAGGACUUGGUUAAGGGAGAGAAGAGAAGGGACGGGACCAGAGGAUUCAGAAGAGCUACGUAGGGAGCUGCAAAUCACUUUAGGCACAGCGAAAUGGCAGUUGGAAGAGUUUGAGAGGGCUGUCAGAUUGAGUUAUGGAAAUCGUUCCGAGCAUAAUACAAGUGCCAGGCAUAAACAAUUCAUUGUAGCCAUAGAGGAUCAGAUAUCUCGUGUGGAGAAGGCACUAAGGGAAUCAAUGUACGGGGAAGGGAAGCAACCCAUGCGAUGGGUAAACUUGGAUGAAGAAGAACGCGAUGAUUUAGCUUCAUUUCUUUCUAGAACUCCAGGAACCUUGAAAGGUACCAAGGUUGAAAAUGUAGAGCUCAGACCUUCCACAAACAACUCUCUUCAGGAGGGAAAUCAACAAAGGAGAAAAGUUCGAGACUUCCAUAUUGAUGCUGCCUGCAGAAUAGAUAUACCAGAUUGUGUAAAGGAUAAUAAAGAGGUUGUGAGUUUUAGGCAAGAUGCUAAUUAUGCAGUAGAAUUAGAAACAAAAAACCAUCCUGGAACCAAGGAUGAUUUAAGCUGUCAAGUGGAGAAAUCAAAUGGUCAUAGAAGAACAUGGAGUACACCAAGCUUUGCUGCUUGGAAGAUUGUAAUAGCAGAUGAGGAUGAACAGAGAAAAACAUUGGUGGCAAGUGAUGAAUCCACAAUCAAAGAAAAGGGGUUCAAGAAUAGCUUCCGGAAGCAGAAAAGUGGAGAGCAUCUCCGGGCAAAAGAAGGGAUAUCAACUUGCCUUGAAUUGAAAAGAUUCAAUUUGCUCUAUCAGGUCUGCGGACGGUUAGGUGGAUCUCAAAGACAAAUACAAGGUCCACAGCGCAUGCAGUUUAGCUCUCUGAAGCUUACGCUUGUGGCUGUACUAACUAUUUUCUUGAUUGGCCGCUAUUGGUGGUGAAGCCAUUCAAAUCUUUGCGGUGAGAAGCCCUGAGAAGCCCAGGUUCUGCUCUCUCACCUUACUGAUUUCUUCUUGAAGAUUAUCUAAGCUGUUCCUGUUCUAGCCUGCAGUUGAGAUUCAAGUUCUGUUCCUGUGAUAGAGAAUUCCUAGUCACAUCAGUUUUGGUGGAAAUCAGGUUCCUAUUGUAGUCUAUGCAACAUAGAGGAGAUUUACUCAUGAUCAGGAUUAAAGGUAUCCAUGUAACCUUGGAAAGUCAUCUUCUGUGAUAUCACCAAUGUUAUCCCCUUCUUUCCCCACUGUAUUUUAUUUCUCCCAGUGAAAAACAUAAGAUCAUAAGAUUGUACCAAGACCCCGUGUUCAUUCUAGAUCGUAAAGCAAAUGAAAUGUUGAGUUUAAUUUGACCUCAGAACUUGAAUAUGCUUGGCAAAUAAAUUGGGAUCAAUCCCUUAUUUGUUCAGGCAAUUGCAAGGGUAUGGGAUUUGAUCCCUCAUUUGGUUUUUACUUUUUAUAGGAGGGAAAACAGAAUGGAUGGCAUGCUUAGAUUUUUUUUAUUUUUUAUUUCUUUUUAUAAGGGACAUUUCUCCA